rnacentral:rRNA from 1 species
AACGAACGCUGGCGGCAUGCCUAACACAUGCAAGUCGAACGCUCCGCAAGGGGAGUGGCGAACGGGUGAGUAACGCGUGGGAACCUGCCCAGUAGUUGGGGAUAACCGCGGGAAACUGCGGCUAAUACCGAAUACGCCCUAAGGGGAAAGAUUAUCGCUAUUGGAGGGGCCCGCGUCGGAUUAGCUGGUUGUGAGUAACGGCUCACCAAGGCGACGAUCCGUAGCUGGUCUGAGAGGAUGAUCAGCCACACUGGGACUUAGACACGGCCCAGACUCCUACGGGAGGCAGCAGUGGGGAAUAUUGGACAAAUGGGGGCAACCCUGAUCCAGCAAUGCCGCGUGAGUGAUG